AGACAGGUGCUGCAUGGCUGUCGUCAGCUCGUGUUGUGAAAUGUUGGGUUAAGUCCCGCAACGAGCGCAACCCUUAUCCUUCUUUGCCAGCACGUAUUGGUGGGAACUCCAGGGAGACUGCCGGUGAUAAACCGGAGGAAGGUGGGGACGACGUCAAGUCAUCAUGGCCCUUACGAGUAGGGCUACACACGUGCUACAAUGGCGCAUACAGAGGGCUGCAAACUAGCGAUAGUGAGCGAAU
rnacentral:rRNA from 1 species